GACGAACCGUGCGAACGUUGUUCGGAAUCACUGGGCGUAAAGGGUGCGUAGGCGGUUUGGUAAGUCUUGUGUGAAAUCUCCAGGCUCAACUUGGAGUCUGCACGAGAAACUGCCGGGCUUGAGUGUGGGAGAGGUGAGUGGAAUUCCUGGUGUAGCGGUGAAAUGCGUAGAUAUCAGGAGGAACACCUGUGGCGAAAGCGGCUCACUGGACCACUACUGACGCUGAUGCGCGAAAGCUAGGGGAGCAAACAGG
rnacentral:rRNA from 1 species